rnacentral:rRNA from 1 species
CGUGUAGGCGGUCCGGUAAGUCCGCUGUGAAAGUCGGGGGCUCAACCCUCGAAUGCCGGUGGAAACUGUCGGGCUAGAGUGCGGAAGAGGCGAGUGGAAUUCCUGGUGUAGCGGUGAAAUGCGCAGAUAUCAGGAGGAACACCAAUUGCGAAGGCAGCUCGCUGGGACGUUACUGACGCUGAGACGCGAAAGCGUGGGGAGCAAACA